rnacentral:rRNA from 1 species
AGUGAACGCUGGCGGUAGGCCUAACACAUGCAAGUCGAACGGCAGCACAGUAAGAGCUUGCUCUUACGGGUGGCGAGUGGCGGACGGGUGAGGAAUACAUCGGAAUCUACUUUUUCGUGGGGGAUAACGUAGGGAAACUUACGCUAAUACCGCAUACGACCUACGGGUGAAAGCAGGGGAUCUUCGGACCUUGCGCGAUUGAAUGAGCCGAUGUCGGAUUAGCUAGUUGGCGGGGUAAAGGCCCACCAAGGCGACGAUCCGUAGCUGGUCUGAGAGGAUGAUCAGCCACACUGGAACUGAGACACGGUCCAGACUCCUAAGGGAGGCAGCAGUGGGGAAUAUUGGACAAUGGGCGCAAGCAUGAUCCAGCCAUACCGCGUGGGUGAAGAAGGCCUUCGGGUUGUAAAGCCCUUUUGUUGGGAAAGAAAAGCAGCAGGUUAAUACCCCGCUGUUCUGACGGUACCAAAAGAAUAAGCACCGGCUAACUUCGUG